UCGCUCCCUCACACGCCCUGGGCGGGUUUCGGUGGCGGAGGAUGGGCCAAGGAUUGACGUAACGCGACUUUUUUCACCUCUGCUUGGCCUGCCGGACAACUUCCUUAUCCUGAGGGUGGCGGAGCGGCUGGCGGAGCGGAACAGGCGGCCGGGGAGGUUGUGGAAUGGCCCUCUCUGGAGCCAUUGAAAACCCGCCUGGAUAUGGUCAUGUGUCACCUGCUCUGGGUGACCCUGCUUCAGCAGGGGUGUUGGACUAGAUUAUCUCCAAAAGUCCCUUCCAACCCUAACUAUUCUGUGAUGCUGUAUUUCUGUCUUUUAUUCUAGUUUGCUCAAAGCCGGGAAUCGGGAGGUAACCCACGAAAGGCUGGCUCUGUGAUCGUCAAACCUCUACACUAUUUAUACCUUUUAACAAAAAAAGGCAUCAGCAUUUGUUGUCUACUCCCUGGAUCCAUUCUAGGUACAUGGACAUAUGGUCACCAUACUGAAGACACAACAGGAACUAAAUUAAACAUUACAGGCAUGGAAUGAAUCAAUUUUGGAUGUAGUGGAAGGAGCUUCUCUACACCAGCAUAAGUCAUCCCAGCAAUCUAAGGAUCACAUCUCAAGUUCUUCUCCAAGUUUGCAUAAAAACGAACAAGCUAAACUAGUGAACACCUCUCUGCUGCCACUCAUAAUUCUUUAUUAACUAGGAAGUGAUAAACACAGUAACAGAAUAAUUAUUGCUGGAUAAAAUCUUUGGCUUAAAGCAACAGUGCAACCAGCUUAGAUUCUUCUAUUACCAAAAAUACAAAAUAAAAAAUUACUUUUUUCUUUCAUUAUUCUCUUCCUAGUUUUGUCUUCACUUGAAAAAAAUCAAACAUUUUUACUAUUUUGUACAAAGACCACUGUGUCUUGUCUUUAUCUUUUUGAUGUCACAGGUUAUUAGGCUAUUUUUAUAAAGGAAUACCCAUUUUUUAAAAAUACUUAAGGGGACUGGUCCUUACUUUUGAAAUCAUAUUCAUUCCCAUUGCAUCCCCUGUUCCAGACUGAAAACGGAUAUAAAGGUUACGACCAGCCAAACUGAUGAGAAGUUUUUGAAGGCGGGCAAACCUGCAAGAAAAUUUAACUAUUACUUAAAAUCCUCAUGGGAAUAUUAGCUUUAAGUGGCAAAAUGACAGUAAAUCUUUGCAAAUUACACUGCUAAAUACAGAAUCACAGAUUCCUUUAUAAAUCAUUUGGAAAAGAGCUGUAAAUCAACAAGUCCAGUCUUUGACAGACAAUGAUCUUUUCAACAGGACCACAGCACCAAGUGCUACGUCCAGUCAUUUUUGAACCCUUCCAGGGAUGGUGCUUUCAUGAAUAAGUACUACAAAAAUAUUCACUGUAAAAGUGUUCACUGCCUUUUGAUGUUUUCUAUCCCCGAACUUCAAGAUAUAAAAUAUCCUGAACUACGAACAUAAAUUUUAUUCAUUAGUAUUCCUUGAAACAUUUCACUACCAGAUAUAAAGUAAUAGUGAGGCCUUUGGAAAUUCUGAUGUAAGUUUUACAGCAAGGCAGAAAGCAUGCUAUCUUCAACAGUACAAGCUGCACAAGUCACUCAAAAUGCAAAAAUAUACGGCAUUUAAAAAGCAGCAUGAGCUGAUUCUGGCCAAAAUACAGAUGUAUCUUUGGCUGACACCUUGUAAAGAAACACAACAGGUAAGAAAAUAUCUCUCAGAGUCUUCCUAAAACAAGAAAGUCAUCAUCAUAAAUCCUGGAGAAAACUCAAGGGCUUGAAAUAGACUUAUUCUUACAACUGUUUUACAUUUUUUUAGCAUUUCAGUUCUAGCAUUAGUUUACCUUGUAUUCUCUCAGAUUAAUUAAUAUUAAUAAUAUCAUCUGAAAGGCUGAAGACCAAACUUAGAGGGUUUUUUCUGCAGUAACUACAGUUACAGUUACUCUACCUAGUAAAAAUCAAAAAAAGUUUCUAGAUUUUUAAAAAAUGCUUAGACAAAUUAAUAUUCUAUUAAGUAUUAUGCAGUAUAUAUCUAUUUGUUGUUAAUAUACAGUAGUUUACCAUUAUCAGUGCAAAAUGUUUAUUGCUAGACUUGGCACACAGCCAGAGUGACUUCUGUCCUCUUAGAUACUCACAACAUUGGGAUAGCCAAAACAGAGAUGUAAUAUCCUCUAUUGCAGUACUCCAAAAACACAACUGAGAUCUUUCUACCAUCCAUAGAAGUCUUAUGUCUGGAAAUGAAGCUGGAACAGCCAUCAUACUAACCUACUUGUGCUGUCAAAAGCUUCUUUCAUUAUUUUAAAACCUUCAGGGCUUUCAAGCCAGACUUUCACCUCUGCAGCCUGGCAAGCAGUGGGCAACCUUACAACAGGUCCUCGAGUCAUCCCAUCUGCCAGAAUGCGGCUACUUGCUCCUCCACCAAGCUAAAAACCAAAGCAGAAGGGGGAUAAAGUAAGAUUACUGAAAUUUUAGUUUUCAAGAAAUCAAAAAUAUGCAUUAUAUAAACCUGAAUAUGUCUAGGUUUAUAUAAUGCAUAUUUUUAUGCAUUAUAUUUAUGUAUUUUAUAAAACAGGAGGUUUUCCAAGCUUUUAAAGUCACACAGUACUUACACAUAUUGCUCUACAUCCUCUGUUUGUGCUUGCUACAAGACACCCUUCUGUUGUUGCCAUUGGCACCUGAAACUCUUUGUUAUCCAAAACCAGUGGUCCUGCUACGCCUACAGGAAUAGGCAUAUAUCCAAUCACGUUUUCACAGCAAGCUCCCAUCACC